UUCCAUACAACGGUCACCGAAGGGAUUCUAAGUAAAAACUGCUAUUUAGAAGUGCCCAUUCCAUAGAGGUAACUGGUAACAGAAGUUCAAUACCUUCCAGGUCACUGCUAUAAGCGAAAAUGAAUACGAGUGGAAACAAAAUAUGGACAGGUUAUUGCGAGACUGGAUGUUAGACGUUCGUCCGGCUUCGCUCGUCCCCAUACAAGCAAGUGCACUAUUAUUAUUUUGAUUGAUAUUGAAAUUCAGUUUAAUAAAAUGUAAAUUAUAAACGUUCGAAAAUAGUUGUUCACAGAAGUGAUUAAUCAGAUGACGAGUUCGAACGGAAAAUAUUAAUGGAAUUGUUUGUUUAACGUUAACGUAAUAUUAUAAACUCCUGAAUGACAUUAUGAUGGCAGUGUUGUUUGUUGUAACUUUCGAGAUUAUUGAAUAAAGCACGGGUACACAAUGGAAUUAUUAAUCCUGUGCGAAAGUUGCAAGUGUUUUUUCGGCGAACUGUCGUUCUAAACCCAAAAGUGUAAGACCAGCGGAUCUGAACGCAAAAUAAUAUAAUCCGAAAAACGUGUAACGCGGAUGCGAAGGUCUAGAACUAUAACGAUUUCCUUUUCUCGCUAUUACUACGAGUUGGACAAAACACGAUAUGGUACAACAGUGCAAGUUGAUUAGAAGACACGCGCCAGAAAGGAAUCGAAACGGAGUGCAGGCGGGUAUUGAGGUUAUUGUCUACAUAUGGAACGCAAUAACUCGUGUGCCCACGGUGUGCACGAUCUCAGGCGUACGUUACGAGUACGUAUGUAAAGUUUUACUUUGCAUAAGUAGCGUAUUAUUUCAUAUGACAGAUGAUGAUGUGUAAAGAAUGAUCUUUUAUGUAAUUAUGCGUUUAUGCAAAUCAUGCUGCAACAAACAUGGCGUGAUGAUAACAAAUAACAGUUAAAUAAUGUAUUGUAAUUACAUUUAUUUCGUUACAAUUUGUCUUUAUAGCAUGUGACGUUGUAUUUGAUGUAUGCAAUUUUUUAUAUUUUUUAUGUAAACAAAAUACCUAAUUAAUUCAAAAUUAAUGGUUAAAAAUGGUACGCGAAAUAACUGUUGUAUGCGAUGAACCUCAAAAUAUGACUAUCUCACGUUAAUUUAGCUCAUAGAAUCGAAUUCAAUAAAUGUUGUACUUAUAUA